CCCUGUUGCCAUGGCAGCGCUGCGCCGUCCCGCCGGGAGCGCCCCGGGAGCAGGGUUACCGGGGAUGUAUUAGCAACAGCAUGCCAGCAGGCCGAGGGAGCUGAUCCUGCCCCCUCUGCUCAGCCCUGGGAUAGGCUGAGAAACCAGGGCCUGUUCAGCCUUGAGAAGAGACGACUGAGAGGGGACCUCACACUAACUAUAAGUGUCUGAAGGGAGGGUGCCAAGAGGACGCAUCCAGGGUCUUCUCGGUGGUGUCAAGCAAUAGCACAAGAGGCAAUGGGCAGAAACUGAUACACAGGAAGUUCCACUUGAAUAUGAGGAAGAACAUCUUUACUAUGUGGGUGACCGAACACUGGAACAGAUGCCCAGAGAGGUUGUGAAGUCUCCCCCACUGGAGAUACUCAGGAACCCUCUGGAUGCAAUCCUGUGCCAUGUGCUCUGGGGUGCCCCUGCUUGAGCAGGGAGGUUGGCCCAGGUGAUCUACUGAGGUCUCUUCCAGCCUCACCUGUUCAGUGUUUCUGUGAAUGUCCACAGGAGCAGCAUUCAGCAGCUGUUUGGGACUCCCCGCCUGGGCGGUCCCAGAAAGGCCCGGGCCCACCGAUCCCGGUCAGGCUGCACUGGCUUUGUGCCUGUCCAGCGAUCCUUGAUCUUUCUAAAAUAAAUUUUGUCGUUUUUUAAAUAAA